AAAAACAAGGGUGAAUGGAACAAGGACACGACAGUUUCACAGUAUGGGGUUGAAGAGAGAAGGUUUUUAUUGUAAAUACGAGGAAGAGUACAGCCAGAAGCAUCUGGAAGAGUCCAGAUCAAUGGGAGAAAAUGGUAGACUAAACAUGGCCAGUAGACUGAACUGGACGGGAACAGUUGGGAGUUCCUGGGGACUUGUUCCUUUUCAUUCUGAGACCUUGAACUGUGGAGCUAAUGGCUUUGUUCUCAGGGGAGUGUUGAAGAAUCCUUCCAUGAAAAACUUUCACCCUCAGGACCCAAAUUAAGACUCAGAAGCCACUCUAACCUUCUUGUAACAAGGUGAACACAAAACUAAAAACAAGGCAGAAGACCCUACCUCAACCCCCCAAAAGCCCUACCAUGUGAGUGAGUGUCCUUGUUCCCAUUACACAGAUAAACAAAUACUCGUCAGUACUCUUCUUCCAACGUAAGGCCUUCUGUAGAGUUCCCAGGCAGGAUGCUGCUUCUGUAAGACUGCAAGGGUCUUAGUCCUGAAGGAAUGGCACACUCUUCUGCAGUUACCAAUCCCACACCUGAUCUAUGUCCAGGCCAGGAUAGUAAGCAAGGCCUUUCGCUUGCCCCGGCUGUGAGGGUUCCACAGCCAGGGUUAAUGAACUACCUUCACCUGCCCAAGAGCAGGGCCAUGCCUCUCUCCAGCAUCCCAGGGCUCCCAGGCACCUCCUUUCAUAAGCUCCUCUCUGCCCCAUGGCUGUACUCUACCUUGGUAUGUUUGCCGAAUCCCUGACCAAAGAUCACACGUAGCUCCCCAGUCUCUGGCAUGUGAGGAACUGAACAUGAAUCUGUCUGUGUAUCCAGAGAAGACUGGAAGACAACUAGAACAUUCCUGCCGGGCUUACACAAAUCCAGGCCUCCUUGGUCUACAGAGGGAGCAUAGAGA
rnacentral:lncRNA from 1 species